rnacentral:rRNA from 1 species
UAAAAGUCGUAACAAGGUUUCUGUAGGUGAACCUGCAGAAGGAUCAUUAUUGAAUUGUAAAAACGGGGCGUUGCUUUCGAGCACGCCUCUACAUUCAUAUCCUAAACACCUGUGAACCGUUGCUGAGCUCGCUCAGUGGCACACUUUACACACUAUAAAGUUUUGAACGUAAAAAAACAAAAAACAAAAAAUAACUUUUGACAACGGAUCUCUUGGUUCUCCCAUCGAUGAAGAACGCAGCGAAAUGCGAUAAGUAAUGUGAAUUGCAGAAUUCAGUGAAUCAUCGAAUCUUUGAACGCACCUUGCGCUCCUUGGUAUUCCUUGGAGCAUGCCUGUUUGAGUGUCUUGAAUAUCUCUGCUCCCCGGCUUUUUUCACAAAAGGUUGGCUUGGAGUCAGGUCCUUGGGCUUGCUUGCGGUUUGUUACGAACACACGCUUGCCUCAAAUGCAUUAGCUGGAUUUCAGUAGAGUUGUUAAGUAACAUUGAAAACUCUCGUAAGAUGAAGUCUGCUUCUAACCCGACGUGCCCGUAAAAACGGCACUCAUAUUCAUUUCUUUGGCCUCAAAUCAGGUAGGACUACCCGCUGAACUUAAGCAUAUCAAUAAGCGGAGGA